AACGAACGCUGGCGGCGUGCUUAACACAUGCAAGUCGAACGGUAAGGCCCUUCGGGUACACGAGUGGCGAACGGGUGAGUAACACGUGAACAACCUGCCCUUGACUCUGGGAUAACAGUUGGAAACAGCUGCUAAUACCGGAUACGAGCCUGCAAGACAUCUUGCGGGCUUGAAAGCUCCGGCGGUCAAGGAUGGAUUCGCGGCCUAUCAGCUUGUUGGUGAGGUAACGGCUCACCAAGGCUUCGACGGGUAGCCGGCCUGAGAGGGCGACCGGCCACACUGGGACUGAGAUACGGCCCAGACUCCUACGGGAGGCAGCAGUGGGAAUAUUGCGCAAUGGCGAAAGCCUGACGCAGCAACGCCGCGUGCGGGAUGACGG
rnacentral:rRNA from 1 species